rnacentral:rRNA from 3 species
UGGUCUGAGAGGAUGAUCAGCCACACUGGAACUGAGACACGGUCCAGACUCCUACGGGAGGCAGCAGUGGGGAAUAUUGCACAAUGGGCGCAAGCCUGAUGCAGCCAUGCCGCGUGUGUGAAGAAGGCCUUCGGGUUGUAAAGCACUUUCAGUCGUGAGGAAGGUAGUGUAGUUAAUAGCUGCAUUAUUUGACGUUAGCGACAGAAGAAGCACCGGCUAACUCCGUGCCAGCAGCCGCGGUAAUACGGAGGGUGCGAGCGUUAAUCGGAAUUACUGGGCGUAAAGCGCAUGCAGGUGGUUUGUUAAGUCAGAUGUGAAAGCCCGGGGCUCAACCUCGGAAUAGCAUUUGAAACUGGCAGACUAGAGUACUGUAGAGGGGGGUAGAAUUUCAGGUGUAGCGGUGAAAUGCGUAGAGAUCUGAAGGAAUACCGGUGGCGAAGGCGGCCCCCUGGACAGAUACUGACACUCAGAUGCGAAAGC